UCUACAUUUUGAAGUUCAAAAAAAUAACAUCAGAUGAUAUGAAAUUAUACAUUUUUAUUAUUAAAUGAUAUUAAUACGGUCGUUGCGGGAUCAAUCCAAUGCAUUGGAAACAUAAAAACUGGAUUUCAAAAUUCUGAGUGGAGCGCUGAAUGCAUUGAUUUAACAAUGAUGUGUUUUUUUUGUUUUUGUUGUGCAACUAAAAAACGAAUAACCGUUAGAUACUUUAAAUUAUCACCCGAUACUUAUAUUAGAUAUCAAGCUGAAGUACUUGUACACCAGCCACUGUUUUUAUCUAAAAACAGCAAUCCACAUUACUUAUAUUUGAGUGACGGAGUGGCCGAGCAGACUAAGGCGUCGGUUGCGACUGGCACCGACGCCGGUUCAAAACCUCGGCCGCAGACGGCAUUUUCUUCAGGCAAGUCACGGUGUCCGGAGAGAAGUGUAGCCAUCCCCCACCCGGACAUGGCAGAUACCAUCAAGUGCCCACUGAAAAAUCUGCCAAACUAACAAACACACGUGUUUAACCUAAGUUUAACCUGGUUAAUUAAUAAUAAUAAAAAAAAAUUAUUAUAUUUCAGUGUUAUUACUCAUUAAUAUUUUAAACUGUAUUUUUAAAAAUAAAUCACCAUUG